GCCCCCCUAGCUCAAUUGGUUAGAGCACCUGUUUUGUAAACAGGAGGUUCCGGGUUCGAUUCCCGGGGGU
rnacentral:tRNA from 1 species